AUACGUAGGUGGCGAGCGUUAUUCGGAUUUACUGGGCGUAAAGGGUCCGCAGGGGGUUAAUUAAGUCCGGUGUGAAAGCCAACGGCUCAACCGUUGAACUGCAUCGGAUACUGGUUAACUUGAGUACAGGAGAGGAGAGUGGAAUUUCUGGUGUAGCGGUGGAAUGCGUAGAUAUCAGAAGGAACGCCAAGAGCGAAGGCAGCUCUCUGGAAUGUUACUGACCCUCAGGGACGAAAGCUAGGGGAGCAAACAGGAUUAGAAACCCCAGUAGUCC
rnacentral:rRNA from 1 species